GAUGAACGCUGGCGGCGUGCUUAACACAUGCAAGUCGUACGGUAAGGCCCUUUCGGGGGUACACGAGUGGCGAACGGGUGAGUAACACGUGAGUAACCUGCCCACAACUUUGGGAUAACGCUAGGAAACUGGUGCUAAUACUGGAUAUGUGCUCCUGCUGCAUGGUGGGGGUUGGAAAGCUCCGGCGGUUGUGGAUGGACUCGCGGCCUAUCAGCUUGUUGGUGGGGUAGUGGCCUACCAAGGCGGCGACGGGUAGCCGGCCUGAGAGGGUGACCGGCCACAUUGGGACUGAGAUACGGCCCAGACUCCUACGGGAGGCAGCAGUGGGGAAUAUUGCACAAUGGGCGCAAGCCUGAUGCAGCAACGCCGCGUGCGGGAUGACGGCCUUCGGGUUGUAAACCGCUUUCAGCAGGGACGAAGCUUUUUGUGACGGUACCUGCAGAAGAAGCACCGGCUAACUACGU
rnacentral:rRNA from 1 species